rnacentral:lncRNA from 1 species
ACACUGAGAGCGACGCUGAAGACCCUGGAUACAUGUACGUCCUGUCCUCGUCCAAUCAAACGGCUGUUCUCAGGUCUUAAAGUGCCGUCUCAUCCCAUCUCUUCUUCUGUUUCUUCAGAAUCGUUCUACCUGAAGGAGAGACUCCUCAGACCAAUCAGAGCCGAGCGUCCACGCCUAGUUCAGGUACAGCUAGGAAAAAGCAACCACGUGGAACCUGUCCAACGUCUGACUGACUCACCUGUCCGUCACAGGUCACGUGACCUUAAACCUGUCUCCGUUUCCUCCUCAGAUGUUCAACACCUUUACGAGAACGUCCCAAAGGCAGAAGACGCCGAAUCAGGUAACAGAUCCGCACAAACGCAUGCCUCAUUCCACCAAUUAGAAAAGAGGCCUGAGCGCUGUGUUGUGGUUCCAUCCCCAGAGGACAGAGACUACCUGAACGUGGAACCGCUCAACCUGCACCGGUCGACGGCUGAUUUGUCAAUUCGAAGCGACAGCGACAGCAGCAGCAGCAGCGACGAUGACGAGGGGAACUACGUGAACCAACCCCCGAUGAGUCAUAGCCAGCCCAGUGCAUGAUGGGACGCCUGCACCGACCUCUGACUGCCGUCUGGAAACAGUUAGACUUUUUUAAUACAUGUCUGAGCUUUACCUUUUUUUUUUUUUUUUUUUAACUGACGCCUCCUGAGAAUGUCUUCACUGUUAGACUGUAUUUAUGUGUUACCAUGGUUACCGUUUCCACCUGUGUUUCUUUAAUGACUACAGUUUGAUUAAACAUCAACAAAAUGUGUGAAUCGUCUAAAUGUGAUGUUUUAAAGCAGAGA